GACGAACGCUGGCGGCGUGCUUAACACAUGCAAGUCGAACUGCAAGGCCCUGCUUUUGUGGGGUGCUCAAGUGGCGAAAGGGUGUGUAAAACGUGAGUAACCUGCCAUUGACUUUGGGGUAAAUUCAGGAACCUGGGGCUAAUACCGGAUAGGAGCUCCUGGUGCAUGGUGGGGGUUGGAAAGUUUCGCCGGUUGGAGAUGGACUCGCGGCUUAUCAUCUUGUUGGUGGGGUAGUGACUUCACAAGGCCUUGAAGGGUAGCCGGCCUAGGAUGGUGACCGGCCACGUUUGGCAUGAGAUACGGCCCAGACUCCUACGGGAGGCAGCAGGGGGGAAUAUUGCACAAUGGGCGGAAGCCUGAUGCAGAAACGCCGCGUGCGGGAUGACGGCCUUCGGGUUUUAAAACGCUUUCGCAUGUGACGAAGCGUGAGUGACGGUAAUGGGUAAAGAAGCACCGGCUAACUACGUG
rnacentral:rRNA from 1 species